GAUGAACGCUGGCGGCGUGCCUAAUACAUGCAAGUCGAGCGAACAGACAAGGAGCUUGCUCCUUUGACGUUAGCGGCGGACGGGUGAGUAACACGUGGGUAACCUACCUAUAAGACUGGGAUAACUUCGGGAAACCGGAGCUAAUACCGGAUAAUAUUUCGAACCGCAUGGUUCGAUAGUGAAAGAUGGUUUUGCUAUCACUUAUAGAUGGACCCGUGCCGUAUUAGCUAGUUGGUAAGGUAACGGCUUACCAAGGCGACGAUACGUAGCCGACCUGAGAGGGUGAUCGGCCACACUGGAACUGAGACACGGUCCAGACUCCUACGGGAGGCAGCAGUAGGGAAUCUUCCGCAAUGGGCGAAAGCCUGACGGAGCAACGCCGCGUGAGUGAUGAAGGUCUUCGGAUCGUAAAACUCUGUUAUUAGGGAAGAACAUACGUGUAAGUAACUAUGCACGUCUUGACGGUACCUAAUCAGAAAGCCACGGCUAACUACGUGCCAGCAGCCGCGGUAAUACGUAGGUGGCAAGCGUUAUCCGGAAUUAUUGGGCGUAAAGCGCGCGUAGGCGGUUUUUUAAGUCUGAUGUGAAAGCCCACGGCUCAACCGUGGAGGGUCAUUGGAAACUGGAAAACUUGAGUGCAGAAGAGGAAAGUGGAAUUCCAUGUGUAGCGGUGAAAUGCGCAGAGAUAUGGAGGAACACCAGUGGCGAAGGCGACUUUCUGGUCUGUAACUGACGCUGAUGUGCGAAAGCGUGGGGAUCAAACAGGAUUAGAUACCCUGGUAGUCCACGCCGUAAACGAUGAGUGCUAAGUGUUAGGGGGUUUCCGCCCCUUAGUGCUGCAGCUAACGCAUUAAGCACUCCGCCUGGGGAGUACGACCGCAAGGUUGAAACUCAAAGGAAUUGACGGGGACCCGCACAAGCGGUGGAGCAUGUGGUUUAAUUCGAAGCAACGCGAAGAACCUUACCAAAUCUUGACAUCCUUUGACAACUCUAGAGAUAGAGCCUUCCCCUUCGGGGGACAAAGUGACAGGUGGUGCAUGGUUGUCGUCAGCUCGUGUCGUGAGAUGUUGGGUUAAGUCCCGCAACGAGCGCAACCCUUAAGCUUAGUUGCCAUCAUUAAGUUGGGCACUCUAAGUUGACUGCCGGUGACAAACCGGAGGAAGGUGGGGAUGACGUCAAAUCAUCAUGCCCCUUAUGAUUUGGGCUACACACGUGCUACAAUGGACAAUACAAAGGGCAGCGAAACCGCGAGGUCAAGCAAAUCCCAUAAAGUUGUUCUCAGUUCGGAUUGUAGUCUGCAACUCGACUACAUGAAGCUGGAAUCGCUAGUAAUCGUAGAUCAGCAUGCUACGGUGAAUACGUUCCCGGGUCU
rnacentral:rRNA from 1 species